rnacentral:rRNA from 1 species
GGAGGGUGCAAGCGUUAUCCGGAUUCACUGGGUUUAAAGGGUGCGUAGGCGGCUUUAUAAGUCAAUGGUGAAAGCUCGCAGCUUAACUGUGAAACUGCCAUUGAAACUGUUUAGCUUGAAUCUGGUUGAAGUGGGCGGAAUACAACAUGUAGCGGUGAAAUGCUUAGAUAUGUUGUAGAACACCGAUUGCGAAGGCAGCUCACUAAGCCAACAUUGACGCUGAGGCACGAAAGCGUGGGUAGCGAACAGGAUUAGAUACCCUGGUAGUCCACGCCCUAAACGAUGAAUACUCGAUGUGUGCGCCUUGUGCGUACGCGUCCAAGCAAAAGCGUUAAGUAUUCCACCUGGGAAGUACGGCCGCAAGGUUA